AGCGAACGCUGGCGGCAGGCUUAACACAUGCAAGUCGAGCGGGCCCUUCGGGGUCAGCGGCGGACGGGUGAGUAACGCGUGGGAACGUGCCUUCUGGUCUGGAAUAACCCUGGGAAACUAGGGCUAAUACCGGAUACGCCCUUUUGGGGAAAGGUUUACUGCCGGAAGAUCGGCCCGCGUCUGAUUAGCUAGUUGGUGGGGUAACGGCCUACCAAGGCGACGAUCAGUAGCUGGUCUGAGAGGAUGAUCAGCCACACUGGGACUGAGACACGGCCCAGACUCCUACGGGAGGCAGCAGUGGGGAAUAUUGGGCAAUGGGCGCAAGCCUGAUCCAGCCAUGCCGCGUGAGUGAUGAAGGCCUUAGGGUUGUAAAGCUCUUUUAUCCGGGACGAUAAUGACGGUACCAGAGGAAUAAGCCCCGGCUAACUUCGUG
rnacentral:rRNA from 1 species